CUGGCGGCGNGUUUCACCAUGCAAGACGAGCGGGCGCGAGCGAUCGCGUCGGCGGCGCACGGGUGAGUAUUGUCUGGGAACCUGCCCUUUGGUUCGGAACAACCCUGGGAAACUAGGGCUGAUACCGGAUGAUCCUCCGCGAGGGGGGAAAGAUUUAUCGCCGAAGGAGGGGCCCGCGUCCGAUUAGCUAGUUGGUGAGGUAACGGCUCACCAAGGCGACGAUCGGUAGCUGGUCUGAGAGGAUGAUCAGCCACACUGGAACUGAGACACGGUCCAGACUCCUACGGGAGGCAGCAGUGGG
rnacentral:rRNA from 1 species